GACGAACGCUGGCGGCGUGCUUAACACAUGCAAGUCGAACGGUGAAGCGCCUUCCUUUUUGGUGGGUGUGGAUGAGUGGCGAACGGGUGAGUAACACGUGAGUAACCUGCCCCCUUCUUCUGGAUAACCGCAUGAAAGUGUGGCUAAUACGGGAUAUUCUGGGUCUGUCGCAUGAUGGGUCUGGGAAAGAUAUUGUUUCGGUGGGGGAUGGGCUCGCGGCCUAUCAGCUUGUUGGUGGGGUGAUGGCCUACCAAGGCGGUGACGGGUAGCCGGCCUGAGAGGGUGGACGGUCACACUGGGACUGAGAGACGGCCAAGACUCCUACGGGAGGCAGAAGUGGGGAAUAUUGCACAAUGGGCGCAAGCCUGAUGCAGCGACGCCGCGUGAGGGAUGGAGGCCUGCGGGUUGUGAACCUCUUUCGCCAGUGAAGCAGGCCUGCCUCGUUUGUGGGUGGGUUGACGGUAGCUGGAUAAGAAGCGCCGGCUAACUACGUG
rnacentral:rRNA from 1 species